GGGGAUGUAGCUCAGAUGGUAGAGCGCUCGCUUAGCAUGCGAGAAGUACGGGGAUCGGUAGCCUGCAUCUCCA
rnacentral:tRNA from 1 species